GCACUAAAUCAGUACAAUGGAGACAAAAAUGUCAUGAGAACAAACAUGACGUAUGUACCAGCAGCUGUGCUGUCAGGUUAUGGGAACUGCGAGCCGAUUGAUUUGUCGGCGUAUAGGACGACAUGUCACGUGAAGUGAUUCAUGACUUGAAGACCUGAAAACCCAAAGCUCAAGAUUCAUACUGACCUGCCUGUCAACUGGUGACAGUUUACUCUCCUCAGUAUCUCUUCACCAAGUGAGCUGAUCGUCUUUGUCAACGGCUAAAAGUCUUUUCUUCUCCCUUCUUUCUUUGUCUUUCCUCCUUUCCUCCCUUUCUUCCAGGUUGUUGAGAGGAACACGGAUCCAGAGGAGGUGCUGCUCGGCUUUCUGAGGAGAAAAGCCAAUCAUCACCCUGCAGGGUGCUGCUACGGUGACAGUCGAAGGCAUCGGCAGCACCGAGACCAAACUCCACCCUGUUCGGGUAACAAGUCACUGCUGUUUAAAUCAGGAUUUAAAUCACCGUCAGCAGAGGUGGUGCUGUCACAAGCACAAAUCGCUGCUUCUCCAGACAGUUUCCGGUCCUUUUGUAUUAACUGACGACCCUUUUGUUUUUAUUUUCUCGGGAAUCUUUGUCACUGCGCAGGCUACAGACCAAUAAUUGACGGAUUUAAGACUUUUUGUGGAAGUGAGGUAGGUGUUGAGACCUGUGUUCAUCGCUUUUGCUCGGUUUUUCCACUGAUCCGUAGGGUACUAAAAAUAUCACGAGCCUGACUUCCCUAAUCAUCGAGUACUUUAACACCUCUACUAUUUGUUUUCAUAUUUCUUUUGUUAUGAUCCUGUUUUAAAUUCAGUGACCAGUGUAUUGUGCCAGAUAGGUCUGUAGGGCAAAACCCUGAUGAAUUCAGAUAAUCUGAGAUGACUGUAGUAUACAUUCAUAGGAUUGAUGGCUCUAACACACCUCUGACUGCCCUGCGAUGGUAAUUUACAACCCUCUGAUACCCUAACCAGGUUGAAACUCCCUAGGCCUGGUCUUGUUUAUCUGUCUCUAUCCAGACAGACAGAGAAGAUUUUUCUGAAGUUAAAAUGUUUUUCUGUGUUUAUAUUCAGAUGUGACGAGGAGCUUUACCCUGGAUGAAAAACUCUUCACUGAAUUUGGAAAAACAGCCCUCAGGCCUGACGAAGUCCUACUGUCCCAUGACAUUCCCUGCUCCAAACCUGUGAGACAAGCUGCUUUAACCAUCGCAGCUCACAUAUUCAGUAUUAAGCUGAUGCUAAGUACUGCUUGGAGGUUUAAUUUUGCCCUUAUGCUUUGCAUGAAGUCCUAAAAGAUAAAGUGGGAGUUUGUGGCAGGGCAUCGUCAGGCCCAGAGGAGAGAGUUUGCCUUCUCCUUUGUGAACGCUGGGAUGAAGGUGGCCAUUAGAGAGGAACCGACAUCGUGGAGUCCCUCAACAUCUACUACGGUGGAGUUGGAUCGACUCUGCUGAAACCUGGACGGACCUGCCAGCAGCUUGAUGGACGGAUACUUGUGAGAAGUUGCUGAGACGCCUGCAACGAAUCCCACAAACAAAUGGAAGCAGUGGGGCACCAAGCACCGGUGUGGACUGGGAGAAGGGUAAAGGUCAAGCGUACUAUUACUUCACCUUUGGCGGCGGAUGCUCUGAAGUGGAGAUCCACUGUCUCUCUGGGGAUCACAAGAACAUCUGCACAGACAUCAUGAUGGAUGUUGGCAAAAGCAUCGAUCCGACGUUGGACAUUGGACAGGUGGAAGGAGGCUUCGUCGGCCUGUACGCCAUCCUGAUGACCAGAGGGCCGUCUCAGUACAAGGUCCCAGCACUCUGCGACGUCCCGUCUGAGCUCACUGUUCAUCAGCUCGCUGACGCCGAAAAUCCUCGUGCCAUCUAUCUGUCCAAGGUACCACAGACUUCCCACAGACCCAGAGACUCAUGGCCUGACCCAAAGAACAAGUGUAUUAUGACACUAAAAGAGAAUUCUUUAACAAUAUAUCAUUCUAGGCUUUUUUAAAUUUCAUUGAUAAACCUCUCCUAAAUUCAAUUCCAGGUCUUAAAAAAGUCUUUAAAAAAACCUCGAGGGCACUGAUGUCUUGAUGUUCCAGGGUGUAGGUGAGCCUCCAAUCUUCUUCGGCUCAACUGUUUUUUAUGACAUCAAAGCAGCCAUUCCAGCGGCGCGCAAUGAGAGAGGACCAGGGGGACACUUUCCCCCUGAGCUCUCCUGCUACAGCUGAGGAGACCUACUCAGCCUGUCAGGACCGGUUCACUAAAAUGGUACAAGGCCGGCAAGCCAUGUUUAACACUGGCAGCAUUUUCAAACAAAGUCAGACUUGGUACGUUUUAAUCAAAAAUGAUGCUAUAACGAAAAAACAAGACUACUACCUGGAACCCAGAGGAAUCCACUUAUCACUCACCUGUAAACGAGAGCAACAUGUGACUCUAUGUAAUUAGCAAACUCGCCAACUCGCCUGUCGAGACCAGCCCGUCCUGACUGUUUGGACAUGCAUACCUAGUGGACAGGCACAUUAGAGAAUGAAGUCCUCCAGCUCAUUUUUUUAAAUAAUUUUUUGCCGACAGUGUGCAGAGGCUCUCUACGUUUUUUACAAAUAUUUUAACAACCACUGCCUGCCGUGUCAUGCAGUGCCAUUAUAACGCUUUAGUUUAUGCUCUACCGCCUUGGCAACCUGAAAAAGCUUGCAAUGGCCCAUCCACUUUAACUCUAAAAAAAGCAUUUGGCGUAUCAAUAAACGUUGGUACUCCACAUAUUUGAUGAACCACUAGCAAAUUUUUUCAAGAACUGCAGGUGAGACCAAAUGUUUGCCUCUUAUCUUAACAUCACUUUCCCAACACUCUCUCCUUACUUGCAUCGCCUAACCUCCUCCUGUCCAACACCUGAGUAACAUCACUUCCUGCCGCUCUUGCAGGCCUCAUCUCCGACGGAUGGGACUGUCUUCCGUUGUGAUCCCCGGUCCACAGGAAGACAAAUCCAUGUUAGUUUACAAAUAAUUAUGGCCUUUUUUUUCAAGGUUUGGCUUUACUCUCCCCCGUGACACCUGAAGUCUUUGUGCUAAAGAUAUAUUCACGAGUUAAAAUUCUGACAUUUCUUGUCAUUAGUGUUUUUUCUGUCGUUGUGUCCUGCUACUGGAUGAACACAGAUGAAACAGUGGAUAUAUGUGAUAUAUUAAAUAUUUUUUCAAUUGUUUAUUCUGUUGUUGA